UAGAAAACUGGAAUCACAAAUAUAUAUUUGGAAAACUCGUGUUAAGUUUUAUGGAAGCACAAGUCUAUGGCAGUAGUUGCUACUUUGGCCUUUUUCUUUCAGUGAAAGAUGUCAUGUAUAUCUGCCCAUUUAUGGGAGCAGUGAGUGGAACGCUGACAGUGACGGACUUUAAGCUGUACUUCAAAAAUGUCGAGAGGGACCCGCAUUUUAUCCUUGAUGUUCCCCUUGGAGUGAUCAGCAGAGUUGAGAAGAUUGGAGCACAGAGCCACGGAGACAAUUCCUGUGGUAUAGAGAUAGUGUGCAAGGAUAUGAGGAACUUGCGGCUUGCUUAUAAACAGGAAGAACAGAGUAAACUAGGGAUAUUUGAAAACCUCAAUAAACAUGCAUUUCCUCUUUCUAACGGACAGGCACUAUUUGCAUUCAGCUAUAAAGAAAAAUUUCCAAUUAA
rnacentral:sRNA from 1 species